CAGUCGCCGCGGGAAUACGUAGGUCCCGAGCGUUGCCCGGAUUUAUUGGGCGUAAAGCGAGCGCAGGCGGUUAGAUAAGUCUGAAGUUAAAGACUGUGGCUUAACCAUAGUACGCUUUGGAAACUGUUUAACUUGAGUGCAAGAGGGGAGAGUGGAAUUCCAUGUGUAGCGGUGAAAUGCGUAGAUAUAUGGAGGAACACCGGUGGCGAAAGCGGCUCUCUGGCUUGUAACUGACGCUGAGGCUCGAAAGCGUGGGGAGCAAACAGGAUUAGAUACCCCCGUAGUCCCUGUCUCUUAUACA
rnacentral:rRNA from 1 species